GACGAACGCUGGCGGCGUGCUUAACACAUGCAAGUCGAACGGGAUCCGGGCUUUCGGGUUUGGUGAGAGUGGCGAACGGGUGAGUAACACGUGAGUAACCUGCCCCCUUCUUUGGGAUAACGUCGGGAAAUCGGCGCUAAUACUGGAUAUUCUUGCUGCAUCGCAUGGUGGGGUUUGGAAAGGGUUUCUGGUGGGGGAUAGGCUCGCGGCCUAUCAGCUUGUUGGUGGGGUGAUGGCCUACCAAGGCUUUGACGGGUAGCCGGCCUGAGAGGGUGUCCGGCCACACUGGGACUGAGACACGGCCCAGACUCCUACGGGAGGCAGCAGUGGGGAAUAUUGCACAAUGGGCGCAAGCCUGAUGCAGCGACGCCGCGUGAGGGAUGACGGCCUUCGGGUUGUAAACCUCUUUCAGUAUGGAACAAGGAUCCUUCGUUUGGGGGGUUUGAGGGUACGUGCAGAAGAAGCGCCGGCUAACUACGUG
rnacentral:rRNA from 1 species